rnacentral:rRNA from 1 species
ACGAACGCUGGCGGCGUGCUUAACACAUGCAAGUCGCACGGAAAGGCCCCUUUGGGGGUACUCGAGUGGCGAACGGGUGAGUAACACGUGAGUAACCUGCCCUUGACUUCGGGAUAACUUCAGGAAACUGGGGCUAAUACCGGAUAGGAAUCCUUGCUGCAUGGUGGGGGUUGGAAAGCUUCGGCGGUUUUGGAUGGACUCGCGGCUUAUCAGCUUGUUGGUGGGGUAGUGGCUUACCAAGGCUUUGACGGGUAGCCGGCCUGGGAGGGGGACCGGCCACAUUGGGGACGAGAAUAGGCCCAGGCUCCCAAGGGGGGGAGGAGUGGGGAAAUUUGGACAAUGGGCGGAAGGCUGGUGGAGGAAAGGCGGGGGGGGGAUGAACGGCUUUGGGUUGGAAAACGGCUUCAGCAGGGGCGAAGCUUGGGGUGACGGUACCUGCAGAAGAAGCACCGGCUAACUACGUG